CUACAAAUCAUCAUGGUACUGA
rnacentral:snRNA from 1 species